rnacentral:rRNA from 1 species
AUUGAACGCUAGCGGGAUGCUUUACACAUGCAAGUCGAACGGCAGCGCGGACUUCGGUCUGGCGGCGAGUGGCGAACGGGUGAGUAAUGUAUCGGAACGUGCCCAGUAGCGGGGGAUAACUACGCGAAAGCGUAUCUAAUACCGCAUACGCCCUACGGGGGAAAGCAGGGGAUCGUAAGACCUUGCACUAUUGGAGCGGCCGAUAUCGGAUUAGCUAGUUGGUGAGGUAACGGCUCACCAAGGCGACGAUCCGUAGCUGGUUUGAGAGGACGACCAGCCACACUGGGACUGAGACACGGCCCAGACUCCUACGGGAGGCAGCAGUGGGGAAUUUUGGACAAUGGGGGCAACCCUGAUCCAGCCAUCCCGCGUGUGCGAUGAAGGCCUUCGGGUUGUAAAGCACUUUUGGCAGGAAAGAAACGUCGCGGGCUAAUACCCCGUGGAACUGACGGUACCUGCAGAAUAAGCACCGGCUAACUACGUG